rnacentral:rRNA from 1 species
AGAGUUUGAUCCUGGCUCAGGACGAACGCUGGCGGCGUGCUUAACACAUGCAAGUCGAACGAUGAAGCUGGAGCUUGCUCCAGUGGAUUAGUGGCGAACGGGUGAGUAACACGUGAGAAAUCUGCCCCUGACUCUGGGAUAACUGCGGGAAACUGUAGCUAAUACCGGAUACUUUCCCCGGUGGGCAUCCACUGGGGAAGAAAGAAUUUCGGUCAGGGAGGAUCUCGCGGCCUAUCAGCUUGUUGGUGAGGUAACGGCUCACCAAGGCGACGACGGGUAACCGGCCUGAGAGGGUGACCGGUCACACUGGGACUGAGACACGGCCCAGACUCCUACGGGAGGCAGCAGUGGGGAAUAUUGCACAAUGGGCGCAAGCCUGAUGCAGCAACGCCGCGUGAGGGAUGACGGCCUUCGGGUUGUAAACCUCUUUUAGCAGGGAAGAAGCGAAAGUGACGGUACCUGCAGAAAAAGCACCGGCUAACUACGUGCCAGCAGCCGCGGUAAUACGUAGGGUGCAAGCGUUGUCCGGAAUUAUUGGGCGUAAAGAGCUCGUAGGCGGUUUGUCACGUCUGCUGUGAAAAUCCAAGGCUCAACCUUGGACUUGCAGUGGGUACGGGCAGGCUAGAGUGCGGUAGGGGAGAUGGGAAUUCCUGGUGUAGCGGUGGAAUGCGCAGAUAUCAGGAGGAACACCAAUGGCGAAGGCACAUCUCUGGGCCGUAACUGACGCUGAGGAGCGAAAGCGUGGGGAGCGAACAGGAUUAGAUACCCUGGUAGUCCACGCCGUAAACGGUGGGUGCUAGCUGUGGGCCACAUUCCACGUGGUCCGUGACGAAGUUAACACAUUAAGCGCCCCGCCUGGGGAGUACGGCCGCAAGGCUAAAACUCAAAGGAAUUGACGG